GGAGCAAGGCACUUUGUGUUGAGUGUACCUUUCGAAUAAGCACCGGCUAACUACGUGCCAGCAGCCGCGGUAAUACGUAGGGUGCAAGCGUUAUCCGGAAUUAUUGGGCGUAAAGGGCUCGUAGGCGGUUCGUCGCGUCCGGUGUGAAAGUCCAUCGCUUAACGGUGGAUCCGCGCCGGGUACGGGCGGGCUUGAGUGCGGUAGGGGAGACUGGAAUUCCCGGUGUAACGGUGGAAUGUGUAGAUAUCGGGAAGAACACCAAUGGCGAAGGCAGGUCUCUGGGCCGUUACUGACGCUGAGGAGCGAAAGCGUGGGGAGCGAACAGGAUUAGAUACCCUGGUAGUCCACGCCGUAAACGGUGGAUGCUGGAUGUGGGGCCCGUUCCACGGGUUCCGUGUCGGAGCUAACGCGUUAAGCAUCCCGCCUGGGGAGUACGGCCGCAAGGCUAAAACUCAAAGAAAUUGACGGGGGCCCGCACAAGCGGCGGAGCAUGCGGAUUAAUUCGAUGCAACGCGAAGAACCUUACCUGGGCUUGACAUGUUCCCGACGAUCCCAGAGAUGGGGUUUCCCUUCGGGGCGGGUUCACAGGUGGUGCAUGGUCGUCGUCAGCUCGUGUCGUGAGAUGUUGGGUUAAGUCCCGCAACGAGCGCAACCCUCGCCCCGUGUUGCCAGCGGAUUAUGCCGGGAACUCACGGGGGACCGCCGGGGUUAACUCGGAGGAAGGUGGGGAUGACGUCAGAUCAUCAUGCCCCUUACGUCCAGGGCUUCACGCAUGCUACAAUGGCCGGUACAACGGGAUGCGACAGUGCGAGCUGGAGCGGAUCCCUGAAAACCGGUCUCAGUUCGGAUCGCAGUCUGCAACUCGACUGCGUGAAGGCGGAGUCGCUAGUAAUCGCGAAUCAGCAACGUCGCGGUGAAUGCGUUCCC
rnacentral:rRNA from 1 species